UGCUCCUGACAACCGAAUAUAAAUUUGCUCAAAGAUCAACAAUAGAGUGCAGCAAUGUAAUAGGAAGUGGGUCUGAUAUCUUAAAUCGCUAAUCAGCGCAACCAGUUUCUGUUUGCUUUCAGUUUUUACAAUGAAGGAAAAAAGUUCUACACCACCACUACUACACAAGCUAAUAAUACUCCAAAUAUUGCUGUAGAGCUCUUGAAUAACACCGUAAAGAUACUCAUCUGGAAUACUCCUGCCCUGGAAGACAGAAAUUUAAAAAAAAAAAAAAAAAAAUCAACAUAAUAGAUGAAAAAGGUGAAACAAGAAAAAUCUCAUUACAAGAAAAAUGGAUUACAUCGGCUAAUACAAAAUCAAAGAUUACAGUGAUCUCAGUCCUCAACUAAAUUUCCUGGUGAGACUUGUUGAUGAAGGCAGAUUUCUUCUAAAUUAGCAACUUAUAAGCUUCCACAUCCAAAAGCUUCCAAUUCAGCCUUUUAUUCCUUCCAUUGGUCAGGGGUACCUUGAUAUUGAGUCCCUUUCAGGACAUGCACUUGAAACCAGAUCCCAUAAGAUCUCUGGAGCUAAGCGUGUUUGGGCGGAAUCAAUACCAAUAUGGAAAGGACCUCCUGGAAAGUUCUGAUGUGAACGAAACCACACACUGCGAGAUCUCUGUAGUCAUUAAGUGGGAACAAUAUUGAUGUUUAUGGGCAGGAAUGUUACAAUGGCACGCUUAGUUUUACAUACAGAUAAUGGUAUUUUAUAAAAUUAAAGCUACUUACCUUUCCCAUUAUUUAUCUGCCAAAACUGAUUGCACACAAACCUCGAUAGCUGAGCUGGUUACGGACCAUACUUCGCUGAACCAGUUUCAUUGAGGUAUAAAACAUCUUCCAAUUUAUUUUGCCAUUUUAUCAAAUUUCUGCAUGGGUAUGAUCCUCCUAAUUGGCUUCGAAAUUCCAGCUAUACCAGUAAGGUCUUUUGUGAGCCUAACUUUCGCACGUACAUCAUUUAAAAAGCCUACUUAAAAUGAGUAAGAAAUCUACAAGGAGUUAAUAUAAUUACUCAACAAGACUGGUAAACACUCUUUAACAAUAACAAUUUAAAUUUUGUUAAGCUUACCAGAAGGACAUAUUUAAACAGAAAAUAACCAGUAAAAGCAAAAACAUUGAGAUUUGACUAUUUGAGAUCAUGUAAUAUGUUCCAUCUACAAUAAUAAUCCUUAACGAUGUACUUGCAACUUGGUCUGCAAUUGGUUGUGUAACACAUAGAAAUCAUGGUGAUACAUCAGUCAGAUUUAAACACUACACUACAUGUAUGUGUAUGUAAAUGUCGUGAAAAGGUCAAAACCCCACUUUUGUUUAAACAAGUUCAAUUGGAAAAACAAACCAACCAGAUAUAUUUAAAGGAUGAUUUUAAACUUAUUUUGAUGAUCAGAUAGGCUUUUCUCGUUCAAGAACACAACAUCCAACAUAUCACUGAAAUUUGUUGUAACAAUAAUAUGGCAACAGUUUGUAUUUAUGUCACAUAGUAAUAACACAAGAGAAUACGGAUUUUAAAGUCAUAAGGCGAAAAGAUAUACUAUAAAAGCAAAUACCAAAAAAUGUCCAGUAUUUUCGAAAUACAGGUAUAUCGUACUGAAAUAUUCUCUGUAAAAUGGACACACCAUAUUUCAAAAAAAAAAAAAAAAAGUUAAGGAUACAUGGACACACUAAGACACAUGUCAAACACAGAUAUGAAAAAGAAGGAGGGGGGGGGAGACACAGAAGAAGGUUCUAUUCUUUUAUCUGAUUACAAAAAUGUGACUACAAGAGAGAUUAUUUUUCUAACUUAAUCAUAGCUUAGGAAUACAGUAAAUCACUAUCCAUAUCCCACAUUCAAAUGCUUUUCAAAGCCAUAAACACCGGUACUUUAAUGGUUUAUGAAACUUUCGACCUCAACUCCUUUCAAAAACUCUUCAAUCCAUUAGCUGCAUUCCUCCAUUCCUUCACAGUAAGUAUAAGUCUAAAGCAAUUUUGGCUGCAGGUAUAUUAGUGUGAGUAAAUGGCCAUAGCGUCCAAAAAGAAGAAAUUGGGUCCUCUCUUGGAGGAUAUGGCUGCAGGAUAUGGAUUUGUUUCCUAUUCUAGUGAGCCCUCUGUUCGAGGAAUUGGGUCCAGUGAGUAGUGGAAACUCUUGGGGAAAAGAAAUUGAGGAAUCCAUUGAUAUAGUGGCCUGUGGUGUGGCAGCGAGCCUCCAUCUAUGGAAAAGAUUACUAAAUCGCUUGGAAGGUGUAUAGGAAAAGAGGCAGGCAGCUGAGCCAUAGAUUCUCUAGUGGGCUACUGCUUCUCGAACUGGUCAUUGGUGGGCCGAUUAGGACUCACCGAAACAUAGGGAAUCCACCCCCAAUGAGGAUAAUGGAGGAGUAAAACCAAGGGUUCCAAGGGUCGAAGGGUCUCAAUUGUAACCAAAUGUUGUGGAUUUUAUAUAGUACACAUAUAGAAAGAUGGAGAGGGGUACAACCAUUAAGAGAUUCAAAGCCUAGAUCUUCUACUGAAAAAGCUUGACAUCGGGCCACAGUGCCACACACACGAUAUGGCUCUGAUACGUUUCUUUGGUGGCCAGUUAUGAACUGGAGGUCCUCCCCCAAGUCUUUGUACUCGAACACUAAAGUGGCAAAUGAAAUUCCGCGAAAAAUGAGAUAUGAGACUGACACUGCUACGAGGAGGAUACCUGAUGUAGAAAUAUUUUGAGUCUGGUUCCAACUGCAGUUCUCUGGGGUCUUUGAAUGGACUGCAAUCAUUGACACUCUGAAAGGCCUCUUGUAUUAUUGAACCAAAGACUCUAGGGAGUGGGUUAUCUCUUUUGAUUAUUUUGUAGCCAGAUGGGAGGAUUUGAUGUUUAGACAGGCGAGACUUCCCUUGUUUGUGUUAUCCUAUAGUUCAUUUAAAUUCUGAUGAUCGAAGGUCAUCUCGACCUACCAUAUAUAUAUAUAAACUUAAUUUGACGAAGCAAAAAAUAAAAUAUAAAUGAGGUGGAUCUAGGAUUUUCGUUUUGUGCAACAGGCAAUUAUUAAUAAACUCAUCCUCUAGCACAAGAAAAUUUUCUAGAUUAAAUGACACGGGUACAAAAUAAAUAGAUUUGAAUAACAAUCAUAAUACUUGAACAUCAAGCUUACACUGUUUAAACUUUAAAAUUCAAAACCAUAUGAACAUGUCAAAUGACAAUGAAAAAAAAACAAUGCACAGUCUAUGUUAUCGCACUUACAAAAAAAAGUCCAUAUGCAAUAGCAGAAUCAUAUUAAAUAAACUCAUCCAAACACCAAAAACAUUACACCGACCAUUAGACAAGUAGCCAUAAAAUGAUUGCCUGAAGUCCCACACCCUAAAAAAUGUACAUGAAUCAAGCCAUAACCCAACAUGAUUUGAGCUCAAACAACACCGCCACCCCACCCUACUCCAGGCACACACAAUCUAAGUCUUCCGCUUCCUACCCUGAGAGCUUCUCCAUCAUCAAUCACCUUCAUCUUUAGAUGCUACCCCAGUGAACAUCUCCAGUCAGUGUGCUUCAAAGUAUGACAACAUUAAUGAAUCUUCUGUUUCCAUCACAUGACUGGUUGUUAUGUAACCCUCUACAACACCCCUAUCUCAACAUCAGUUCCACUUUGGCUGCCAGCUCUCCCAUGCGCUUGCACUACACACCACCAGCUCUCCCAAGUGCCUCCAACACCAGAAAGCAGAAGUUUUGAUUUCUGCUAUGAUUUUGAUUGGGUAACGACACCCUCCCUCAUUCACCAACACAUCUUUUUAUGUCGGCUUAAACUUAGCAUCUCACCACAACCCUAGCCUCUUUAGAUUUUCGAGCAAAAUUAGCUCUGUCAAUCUUUUUACUACUGCACAGUAGCUCGCUAUUGUUGUGAUCAUCACCUCAUGUCAGAGGCUACAGGGCUAAACGACAAGAUGGACACUGAAUAAUAGCCACACCCCUAAAGAAGUAUAAUUUGUCUAAGGGCAUCUCUAAUGGUUCAUCAAAUCUAUCAUCAAAUUCAAAUUUGAUGAAAAAGUGAAAAAAACUCCAUCUAAUGGACCAUCAAAAGUUUUUCAAAUUUGAUAUUUUGCCAAAAAUCAUCAAAAGUUCAUCAAAUUUGAUGAAAUUUUGAUGAAAAGCUUAAGGUUUGAUACUGGGGUGAGGCGGGCAAGAGAAGACCGCUUCACUUAAAGCGGCUAAUGAAGUGCCGCUUAAAGUGGCACUCCAAAGCCCACUUCAAUUAAGUGGCACUUGGAUGUCCGCCUCAACUGAAUUCUUAUUUAGCUUUUUCUUAAAGCGGCACUUCAUUGCCCGCCUCAACUAACUGUUGGGUUAAGUGGCACUUGGAUGUCCGCCUCAACUAAAAUUUUCAUUUAAGUGGCUCUUCAAAGCCCGCCCAACUUAAGUGGCACUUCAUUACCCGCCUCAAUUUGGUGAACCAUUAGAAACUAAAGUUUUUUUCAUCAAAUGGUCCAUCAAAUCGGUACCAAAUCUGCUGAGGUGGCCCAUCAAAUUUGGUGAACCAUUAGAGAUGCCCUAAUAGUUACAAAUUGAAUAAUAUUCCAUUUCCAUAAGUUUCAAGGACAAAUUUCUUAAAUUAUUUCUAGCAAUAAAGAGAUAUCUGCCACUACUGCCCCCUCACUCUCGUUUAUUUAUUAAUGAUAUUUUUAUUGACAAAUUUCAUGAGAGAGGUGUCAACAGGCAUCUGGGUGGCAACCAUCUAAUGUCCACCUUUACAAAUCUUGCGCGAAGGUGGAGGUGAUGAUGUCCUAAAACCUAUACAACAUCUAAUUAUUACUGGAAACAUGAGUUGAGGACUCAAAACCACCUUCAUCUGUUUAAUGCCAAAGAUCCAGAGUUGAUUGAAUGAAACUCAAACAUAGCAGCAGCUCUACUAGACCAGACAAUGUCGAAGCCUAUUAACUUUUGCCAGUGAAUCACCUGUUUUUCAAAUCUGUGCUCCUUUCUCUUUUUAGUUUCCAGAUUUCAGUAUAAUAUUGUAGCAUUUACUCUCAUUAUCAUAAAUGAUCACAUUGUGUUCUUUUUCUUCAAAUAUGGAAUUAUGUUGUGCAUUCCAAACAGUCCACAGUACCGGACAUGUAUGGCUUGAGCAUGUCAAAAGCAUGUCAAGAUCUUGAGAAUUACGCGUUAUGGCUUGAGUUGAAUUCCUUCAAUGAACUCAUUUGUUUCUUUUUUUUUUUCACAACCUCCAGUAGCUCUCCCUACUCUAAAUGAGUUGGUUUCUCAUAUAUAUAACAAAUGACUACGUUACUAAGACAACCAUUUUUCUUUCUCAGUCAGUCUUCUCAUUUCCUCUAUAAGGUUUUCCCAAUCAUUUCGGGUGAUUCCAUUGACGAAUGGAUGAUGAGUUUUACUUCGUAGGAGCAAACAAUAGUUGGUUUCAAACUGAUAUAUUGAACCAGAAAAGGAAGCCCAACCUCAAUUUUUUUUUUAUCAGGUAACUUUCCUUGUGUAUUUCGGUUACAAUGCUUUGUCAAAUGUUGGGAGAAGUUGAUUCCUUUCAGAUAUGAGUUUGGAAAACGUUUUGUUGAAAAAUCAGAAGAGUAAAAAACUCAACUACGAAGACUACCAGGUAGGAGGAUAAAUUGUUUCCAAUUAACAAAAAAAAUAUUUGAAACAGGGAUAAAUACCAAGACCUUUAAACAAAAAGAUAAAAAUUUAAAUAACCAUGUAAAAUCAACAAAUCAUUAGUGGUCACUAUGAAAUCAUUUAUGUCACAAGAAAAGACUAAGGAGAAUAGUUAAAACUACAUAUUUAUAGAUGUAUUGGUAAAGUAUGCCAGGAUCGAAAAUGGAAAAAUUAUGGUGUAUAGUCCAAAUAGACUUUUGUCGAAGAAAUCGUGUUUAUUAAAAGGGAUAGUUAAGAAUAGUUCUCUGUGCGGGACUAUGAAACAGAACAAAAAUCAAAAGAUGAAAAUGUAUGAUCAAUGAAAUUGACAUGUCUCAUAAAAAAGUACCUCUUCUUUAAGCCCCUGACGCUUGCAUUUUUUAUGUUUAUGUGUCUGCCAAAUCGGUUCAGCACUAUUUUGCAGCUGCAAGUCUACAUCGUCCACCAUAUGCUUAGUGCGGGUUCCAAUUCCAUUUUCCUUUGAAGAUAACCUUUUCACCAUAGGUUGAUAAUCUAAUUUCUUGUUGCCAGACCUAAGGAGCAUGGGAUAAAAAAUCAGGAGUUGAAUCUGAUAAGUAUACAAUGCAACUUACAUAAUAGCAUGUAAGUUCGUUGGACAUUCUAUUAAUCCUUCCACAAUUAUGCAAUAAAAUGUCAUUGCAUUAGUUCAAAUGGAAGUUCAUAGAUGAUGUUUGUCGAUGAAUUCUUCUGUUCUUCCUUUAAAAGUUAGAAAUUAACAAAUAGACACUAAGCACUUAAACAAUUGUUUGCCUUUGUAUUUGAUAAGUGUAUGUAUAUACACGAGCUUCUUGUUCAUAUAUAUGAGUUAUCAAUAUUAAGGGUUUUUUGUUUCUCUAUGUUAACCUUCAAGGGGUGAUUAUGUACUCCUUUCGACUUGAAUUUGCUGCAAACGAACAUAGGUGACCCCCACGUAUUAAAUUUAUAUAUCCAUCAUAAAAGCUAAAAUAAUUUUUUUGUGAAACUGGAUACCUAUUUUUUACUUCCACUAUGUUAAAAUCAAUCAUAUGAGUUUAUUAAAAACAUUCUCCUUGUUUCUUCAACAGUUGUACUUGAAUGCCUAAAUGACGUAUCGAAAGUUGUGAUCAUUUAAGAUAAUCAUGAUAGUAUGUGAAAAAAAAUACGGCACUGAAGUAUUAAAAAAAAAUCACAAUCCACUUGGAUAUCAACAUUUAACAAUGAAUCACACAGAGACAUGAGAAAUUUCUUAAGAGUAUUAAUCUUUAAACACAAAAUUUUCGUCGUUUAAAAACAAAACCAUCAUAUCCCUCACAGAGUCACAGGCCUUUCAUCAAACAACAUAAACACACAUAGUCCAAGCAUAUAUAAAAUUCCAAGAUUAAUAAAAUUCUUAAUAGACAUUUCAUCAAACACUUUACAAGCAAAGAUUAUAACAUAAAUUUAUUCCUAUGAAAACCAAAUUUUGAGGUAUAAAAAAAAAAAAAAAAAAAUCACCUUCAAACACAAUUCUUAGUUUCCAAGGAUGUCAGGAGCAGUUAAUGGCUUCUCUGCCUUGAAGACAAUUCUUGCCAAUAUGAACAUCAAUUUCUAAAUUUGUAUCAAUAACAAGGUGUUUGAAUUCUUGGUUAUCAAACAUGAAAUAAUUUCUACUACAAUUGAAUCAAAACCCUAGAAGCUCUAAUCAUGGCGUCAUUCAUUAGAAUCUUUAUACUCAACAAAUUGAAGAACAUUCAUGAAAGUAAAGAAAAUGAAGAGUUAU
rnacentral:lncRNA from 1 species